GGAUUGUGGCUCAGUGGUAGAGUGCUUGCCUCACCCAUGUGAGGCUCUGGGUUCGAUCCUCAGCACCA
rnacentral:tRNA from 1 species